rnacentral:rRNA from 1 species
CCUACGGGUGGCUGCAGUGGGGAAUAUUGGACAAUGGGCGAAAGCCUGAUCCAGCCAUGCCGCGUGUGUGAAGAAGGCCUUCGGGUUGUAAAGCACUUUCAGUGGGGAAGAAAGCCUUGGGGCUAAUACCCUCGAGGAAGGACAUCACCCACAGAAGAAGCACCGGCUAACUCCGUGCCAGCAGCCGCGGUAAUACGGAGGGUGCGAGCGUUAAUCGGAAUUACUGGGCGUAAAGCGCGCGUAGGCGGUCUGAUAAGCCGGUUGUGAAAGCCCCGGGCUCAACCUGGGAACGGCAUCCGGAACUGUCAGGCUAGAGUGCAGGAGAGGAAGGUAGAAUUCCCGGUGUAGCGGUGAAAUGCGUAGAGAUCGGGAGGAAUACCAGUGGCGAAGGCGGCCUUCUGGACUGACACUGACGCUGAGGUGCGAAAGCGUGGGUAGAAAACAGGAUUAGAUACCCCAGUAGUC